UUGAAACCAUUUGGAUCCAUGAAGGACUCUGACACACUUCCCUGUUUUCCUUCUCAUUCAUACAUAUUCUGUAUGUUGUUAUGCAUGAUUGAUGUUGAACUUUAAUUGAAACUUUAGCUUGAAAAUUGGCCGAUUUCUUUUAUGAAAUUUAACUCCUAUUAUAAGAAUAAGAUCAACAUAUGCAAAAACAAUUGUUGUUAGAUGAUUAUUUUUUUGUAACUGAUCAACAAGAUCAACUUUAGUGUUUUAGUGUUUUAACUUAGCUAAUGUAAUGUAAUACAGUGGAUGUAUGCAUUCCUUUUUCAUAAGGGCAUGAACAUAUAUUACAUAAUGCCUCUACCUGGGACUGCGGCCAAACUUACAAAAUUAACCCUUGUUUGAGAGUAACAAGUAUCAAGUUCAUGAUGAUUGUAGAAGUGAUUGUAUGUAUUCAUAAAUGUGACACAUGCACAUUUUGAAAUGUUAAUAUUUGUGCUUUAACUUUGAUUUGAUGAAUAUCAAAUUAGAUAUUGUAUACACUUUAUAGCUACUUGUGAUCAGUGCACAUUUUUAUACCUUUAGAUUGUGCAGUUUCAUAGUGGUUAGUAAGAAUAUUUUGUGAAUUUAUACUUGUUUUAUCACAAAACAUGUGAAUGAGUGAAUGUCGUCUCAUACUGCAGUCAGCAAUAUUGCAGCCAUAUGAAGGCAGCCUGUAAACCAGUAAUUGAUACGCACACCAUCCUAGUACAUAAAACAUUCGCUCUCCAUGCCUAUUUAUGGUGUCCCCGUCGUGAUUUUGCUGGGAUAUUGCCAAAAGAUGCGUAAAUCCAUGCUCUCUCAAUUCAACAUGCCAUGCCUUGACAGACAAAACGAAAUACAAAAUAUAACAUUUAUACUUACAAUUUUGCAAUGCAGUGUGCUUCAUCAAUGAAAAUUGCCAUCAAAAUCUUCUCUUUAGUCAGGCUGUGUUCCAAGAACUGUCUCUGGACUUGCAAAUAUUAUUAUGUCAGUGUCAGGGUGAAAAAACCGUCACAGUAGCAUGGUUGGAGUUAUUAAGUUUCUUAAACACGAAUGGUGCUAAUUCAAAAGUAAGUGAUUUUCCUGAUCCUGUUGGAGAAAAAAAAGGACAUCCUUUCCUCUGAGGUAACUUACAAUCACUUGUCUUUGAUGAUUCCUGAAGUGAUCAAUUAUGUAACUGCAUUACCUUCCAUACCAACAGUUAUACAUGUAGUUAAGUUAAAUAGAGGGCGUAUAUACUUAAAACACAACAUCAAUCCUUUGUUCCGUUCAGCAGUGUGUCAGAUUCGUGAUGGCUAGCUUGAGGUGGCUAGACUUGCUUUUUGUAUGCAUUACUAGAUUAUUUUUUUAAAUGAAAUAAAUAUAUUCCACGGUCAUUGGUGCAGGACUAAUUGUGUAUAUCACCUGAAUUUUGGUCAAUACCUGAAAUACUCAGUCGCCAAUACAGCCCCUAUUUCAUAUAAGGUUAUGAAAAUACAUGUCGGUUGGAGCCUGAAGCCUGAAGUAGAAUUUAGGUUAUUACACGGAUGAUAUACAUGUAAGGCCGAAAAUUGAUGAACUUCUUUAUUAUGAAGAACACAAUGUUUGGGACUAAUAUCAUUAGUUGAAGGAGUAAGUAUUACACCCAAACGUUCUGUUCCACACAAUGCGUUUCACUUCUGAAUGUUUUUCUAAGAGUUGAUACAUACACUUGCCUUGUAUAUAUGGUUGAUGCACGUCGAGUGUCUCAGAAACGCGGGAUCUGCAGGUAUUAGAGCUGAAUACAGUUGUGAUUUGACGAAUUCUUUUUCUUUUGACUCUUCCUCUUAUUUCGUUUUUCAGCUUAGCAUUGUGUAUACACAACGUAAUUAACGGAUUCUGACAUCAGCCACAUAUCUCGGACCACCCCACGAGUCUCUCUUAACCGUUCAAUUAACGUUCCGCUUGGUGUUGCCACACCUGUCCGCCAUCUGCUGUUGAGAUACUGUAACGGUUCUCGUCUGAAAAGAGGACUUCUCCCACUGCUGGUGCUGUGCUACCCUCUGAAGACGGUCCAGGAAACAAAGAAGAAGACUGAAAGGAUACCACUGGGAGUGCUUCAGUGAGGACCUCAGUGACCGUUCUCCAUCACAGUAGGUGCUCAGCGGAGGGGACUACCUCACCCUUGAGAGGCAGAAACAAGCCAAUCAUGCACUUACGAGAUGGACCUACACCAAGUUCCAGAUUACAAGGACUUGUUCCAAAGAUGGAAGAGUUCCAUAACGAAGCUGAAUUUCUAAAGGUUAUAUGGAAACACUUGUACUCGUCCUCCUCUAACAAGUCUGUUUGGCACUCUGCAUGCUGCAAAGGAGCACAAUAAAUGCGGUGAAUGUUACUCAGGAUCCUCAUGACAACUUUUACCCAUGCUCUGAAUUCAUGGACAAGGUCACCACCGCCUACAUCGUAACUGGGGGACUACAUUACUUCCAAAUGGAACACCUCACUUCUGUCCCAACGUCAAGUUACAUGGGUGCUGUUGGCAAUCCAUAUAAAAUGAUUGAUUAUUUUCUAGGUCAUGCAGCAAAACAGUUUGUAGACAAGCACGUCUUACCGGAGGUUCCUCAACAGCCAGGUCAUGGUCUCCAAAUCAAACACACUAGCCUGCAGGUACUGUGGAAAACUGUACCAGAGACCAAAAGCUCUCCGCAAACACGAAGCAUCCGGAAUAUAAUGCUGAAAACAAUCAGGAUUCCACAUCUUCAGCAGAAUCAAGAUCAUCUAUUUAUCAGUACACCCGUCUGUCGCUCAUGCUUGGGCUUCUUCGAAUAAAUCACAACGAUUCCAUUCACAUGGGAGAUGGUGGCAGGCAUGAUGAGACUAGUAAAGUGGUUCUGUUUAUAAGGCAAGCAAAUGUCUCCUUUGAAACACAGGCAAAGGCAUAUGCUCUCCUAUAUGAACGGCAGGCUUUAUAGAUU